rnacentral:lncRNA from 1 species
GCAAAGCUGGGCUUGGGCCGGAGGUGGCCCAGUUCCGACUGGAGCCCAGCCACUAACACUCAACCGUCCUGGAGGCUACCUGACGCAUUUGCUUCUUCCUGGCCCCCGACUCCUCUCCUCCGCCCUCCGUUGGGCUUUCUCUUCCCGUCUCCGGUUCUUGGAGGUCAAAAAAAAUCCAGUCCCUUGAAAUUCCCCUCAAUCCCCAUUGGAAAACUCUAUUCGGUUUGCCAAAUCCUGUCUCCGGCGCUCCCGAUCCGUGCUUAGAAUCGUCAUCUCCGAUCCGAUCUCCACCUCCUUCGAGGUAAUCGCCAGGUCCAUUAUCUCUCUAAUUACUUCUUCUU